CAACCUGAAAAAAGCAAACUUUAGGAUUAAUUUAUACCAAACCUUUAAUAUAAAAAUAAGGAGAUGUGGAAUAAUUACCAAUGAGACAAUUAUCCUUCCGAGUUUAUCUGUUAAUUAAGUUUGCACGCUGUCAACAGUUAGUGUAUCACAUACAGUUUCACGGUGAUAAUUAACUUACUUUUAGUCAAUUAAAUUUCAUAUGUGAUCUAAUGAUGCCGAAAUGUAAUUAUUUUCAAUCCCUAAACAAUAUUUGAACUCGACACGACAAAGUAGUACAGUAGGCGUGUUAGGUUCAUGUCAUGAUGUGGCCAAUAAUUAAUUAUAUCCUAAAUCAGAGUGGAAUCUGGUUUGUGAAAUGUCAUACUAAAAAAAGAUUAGGUGUCAAAUGGAACCAAGAGAUAAUUAUAUGAAAGUGAUGGAAAGACUUCCUUUUGAACCCCCUGGGUUAAUGGAAUAAGCCUAGUCAUACAUGAAAGGGUUCAAAGGAGUGUUUGUUAAAACUUUGAUAAUUUUGAUACUUUACUGAAGCCAGAACUCACUGUAGGCCAAAAAAAUUAAUUGUGCUAUCUACAUUGGAAAAGAUACCUCUACUUAAAACAAUUUGAACAUGUUGUCUAUUUGUAUACAACUUCUCCUAAACACAUUGAGAUCCCAGUGGUUCAAAAUUGGUAAUAUAGAUUUUCCUGCAACUUAUGUACUUUGAUAAUAGGUUUAACCCAUGGUUCGAUAUAUCACAGAUUUACAAAUGUUUUAUAUUUUAUUGGCCUUCAAUAAUUGACAUGUUAACAGUAUUCUACAUUGUCUGUUAAUUCUCACUCAAUUUGAACUUAGUUUUAUAUUACAUAUGAAUUGUUAUCUGAAGUGGAACUUAAUAAAUAGUUAAUCCAUUCUGCAAACAGUCAAAAAGGCAAAAACCAAUAAUCAAUGUUUCCCUUCAAAUACAUUUAAAGUUAUAUAUCUAUCAAAGUCAUUUAGUUAUAGACAUUUUUCACAUUUUGCCAUCUAAAAGUAUAUUUGACUUUUGUACACUAAAUAUUAAAUAUGUGCAUGUAUGCAUACUUAUGUAAGUUUGGUGAUUGUUUAAUUUCACACAAAUGUAUGAAGAUUUUAAAUAUAGCUUUAGCUGACUUAAACUGUUCUUUAUUAUGGGGGCUCCAACUAUCUUCAUCAUUAAAUCAUGCCUGAAGUUCUGUACAUUACAUGUAAAUCAUGCCUGAAGUUCUGUACAUUACAUGUAAAUCAUGCCUGAAGUUCUGUACAUUACAUGUAAAUCAUGCCCAAAGUUCUGUACAUUACAUGUAAAUCAUGCCUGAAGUUCUUUACAUUAUAUGUAAAUCAUGCCUGAAGUUCUGUACAUUAUAUGUAAAUCAUGCCUGAAGUUCUUUACAUUAUAUGAAAAUUAUGCCUGAAGUUCUGUACAUUAUAUGUAAAUCAUGCCUGAAGUUCUUUACAUUAUAUGUAAAUCAUGCCUGAAGUUCUGUACAUUAUAUGUAAAUCAUGCCUGAAUUUCUGUACAUUAUAUGUAAAACAUGCCUGAAGUUCUUUACAUUAUAUGUAAAUCAUGCCUGAAGUUCUUUACAUUAUAUGUAAAUCAUGCCUGAAGUUCUGUACAUUACAUGUAAAUCAUGCCUGAAGUUCUGUACAUUAUAUGUAAAUCAUGCCUGAAUUUCUGUACAUUAUAUGUAAAUCAUGCCUGAAUGUAAAUCAUGCCUGAAGUUCUGUACAUUAUAUGUAAAUCAUGCCUGAAUGUAAAUCAUGCCUGAAGUUCUGUACAUUAUAUGUAAAUCAUGCCUGAAGUUCUGUACAUUACAUGUAAAUCAUGCCUGAAGUUCUGUACAUUAUAUGUAAAUCAUGCCUGAAGUUCUGUACAUUAUAUGUAAAUCAUGCCUGAAGUUCUUUACAUUAUAUGUAAAUCAUGCCUGAAGUUCUUUACAUUAUAUGUAAAUCAUGCCUGAAGUUCUGUACAUUACAUGUAAAUCAUGCCUGAAGUUCUUUACAUUAUAUGUAAAUCAUGUCCGAAGUUCUGUACAUUACAUGUAAAUCAUGCCUGAAGUUCUGUACAUUACAUGUAAAUCAUGCCUGAAGUUCUUUACAUUACAUGUAAAUCAUGCCUGAAGUUCUUUACAUUAUAUGUAAAUCAUGCCCGAAGUUCUGUACAUUACAUGUAAAUCAUGCCUGAAGUUCUGUACAUUAUAUGUAAAUCAUGCCUGAAGUUCUGUACAUUACAUGUAAAUCAUGCCUGAAGUUCUGUACAUUACAUGUAAAUCAUGCCUGAAGUUCUUUACAUUAUAUGUAAAUCAUGCCCGAAGUUCUGUACAUUACAUGUAAAUCAUGCCUGAAGUUCUGUACAUUAUAUGUAAAUCAUGCCUGAAGUUCUGUACAUUACAUGUAAAUCAUGCCUGAAGUUCUGUACAUUACAUGUAAAUCAUGCCUGAAGUUCUUUACAUUAUAUGUAAAUCAUGCCCGAAGUUCUGUACAUUACAUGUAAAUCAUGCCUGAAGUUCUGUACAUUAUAUGUAAAUCAUGCCUGAAGUUCUUUACAUUACAUGUAAAUCAUGCCUGAAGUUCUGUACAUUACAUGUAAAUCAUGCCUGAAGUUCUGUACAUUACAUGUAAAUCAUGCCUGAAGUUCUGUACAUUACAUGUAAAUCAUGCCUGAAGUUCUGUACAUUAUAUAAUCGUUAAAAAACUCAUCAAAGAUACAAUUUGUACUAGAGCUAAUAAAUCAAGACAACACUUGAAGUAAUAAAUUAGAAGUGUAAUAAAAUAUGUUUACUAAUAAUCUUUUCACUGAUUAAGAUUAGGAAAUAUGGAUAAAACAACAAUUUUGACCAUUUUCUCUGCAGUGAUGCAUCUUAUAUAAGGAUCAAUAAUAGCAGAUAUUUGGUGGCUGUUUUACUGUAUAUAGAAUAUCAGAAAGGCAGAGGUGAAAUACUGAUUUAUAUAGGGUUGUAUGCAAAAUUUUGCAAAAAUAUAACAUCAAAAGUUCAUGAAAAUAAGAGUUUUACUCAAUCCACGAAAAUUGGUACCGACGAAAAACAAAUGUAGAUAUAAACACUGUUUUAAAUUUCUUGGCAGACUUAACUUUGUUUGUAAUUUUUUUUUAUAUAAAUAAAUCAUGAGAAAUGUUCAUAACUAAGCAGUUGAUACAAACUGAA